ensembl:lncRNA
AGAGGAAACAGACUGCGAUAUUUUUCUGGGUUAUCGUUUACAUUGGGUACUUCAAAGCCUCUGAAGAAACCAAUAGGAUUUCACACAGCCAAGAAGAGUAUGUAUGUAUCCUAAAUGACACCCUAUUUCCUUUGUAGUACACUUCUUUUGUUCAAUAUAGGGGAUAGGUUGCCAUUUGGGACGUAGACUCUCUAUAUGUCUCAGUGAACCAAUCACUACACAGUUGUAAUGCUGUUACUAUUUCUCUAUAUGUCUCAGUGAACCAAUCACUAAACAGUUGUAAUGCUGUUACUAUUUCUCUAUAUGUCUCAGUGAACCAAUCACUACACAGUUGUACUGCUGUUACUAUUUCUCUUCCUGUGUUCUUCCCCACCAGAGGAUGUGUCAGUUCUG